rnacentral:lncRNA from 1 species
UCCUAACCCUUAGCACUUCAGAAUGCAUCCUUAUUUGGAAAUAGGGUCAUUGUAGAUAUAAUUAGUUAAGAUGAGGUCAUACUGAAACAAGUGGGCCCUUAAUCCAAUGUGACUGGUGUCCUUAUAAGAAAAGGGCACACAGAAAACAGCCAUGUGACAACAGAGUGAUGCAUUUACAAGCCAAGGAACGCCAAGGAUGGCCAGCAACCCCCAGAAGCUGGAAGAGGCACGCAACAAUUCUCUCCUAGAGUUGCUAUAGAGAACAUGGUGCUGACGACACCUUGAUUUCAGACUUACGGCCUCCAGAACUCAUGAUCAGAAGGCUUUAAAGAACCCUCACUCAGAAACCUCAUAUUAUUUUUGGAUGCCUCCGGUGUAAAAGCACCCCCUGCGUUCCGAAUAAUUCAUUUCAAGAAACAUGGUAUUAAGUGUUUAGUAUGUACCAGGCGCCUGAAUAGGUGCAGGGGUAAAAAUGUCUUGACACCAAGGAACCUCCGGCAUUUGUGAAUCUGCUGAACAUCGCCAUUGAUGGACUGGAUGCUGCCGCCUUUGCCCCUCCCCCUCCUGCCACGUGUCAUCGCGCCUACUUAGCGACACCUAGUGGUCAGUAAAGAGAACUAUCUGAAUCAAUGACGCCUUUCAGGACUUCUCUCAACAGAGUUUGACCAAGUUUUCUUCUGCUGUGUCAGAUCCCUCUCCCAGAUCAGAUCAUUAGAACCUCCUCCAGUAUCUUAUGUAUAUGUGUCUAGAAUGACUUUUUUUUGAGACAGAGUCUUGCUCUGUCGCCCAGGCUGGAGUGCAAUGGCCUGAUCUUGGCUCACUGCAACCUCCACCUCCCAGGUUCAAGUGAUCCUCCCACCUCAGCCUCCCAAGUAGCUGGGAUUACAGGGACACGCCACCACGCCCGGCUAUUUUUGUAUUUUUAGUAGAGACAAGGUUUCACCAUGCUGGCCAGGCUGGUCUUGAACUCCUGACCUCCGGUGAUCUGCCUGCCUUGGCCUCCCAAAGUUCUGGGAUUACAGGUGUAAGCCACCGCACCCAGCCUAGAAUGACUUUUUAACAUCUCUUUCUGUACACAUUUGAUCAAUAACCUUGGAAACAUUAUUCUUGUAGCACAUUUUAUUGCUGUAAGGGCAAGUUAAGACUUCUGAAUAAGCAAAAAUGAUUACUGAGCAUCUCCAAUGGAAAACUAUGCAUUCUUUACAGCACACUUUUCUAAGUUAUUUGUUUCUAUGGAAUCUGUGUUUUUUUCUUGUCUUGGAGUUAUUCUAGAGCUCGGUAGAUUGUGGAUAAAUACAAAUAAUUCUUGUCUAUAAACAUGCAAAUAAAUUCUGCCUGAUGGAAGUUCAGUAGACUCCACCUUACCCCACACCCGCACUCCACCCCGCCUCCCAUGGAAAAAGUCAAUUUUGUGUCCAUUGGUAAAUGAAUUUCAACGUUGCUUUACUCUAUAUAAAUUGGUCUUUGACCUUGCCUUUGAACUGGUGGUGACCUCUGGCUAGUUUCCCCUUUAAUUCAUGAGUUAAAUAAAAUUUUGACAUGUUUUCAUUCUAUUAUAUGUAAGAGUCAUCGUUUUAUCUUUUUCAAAGUUAUUCUUUAGCAUUGGUAAUUCAAAAGAGACAUUAAAUUUAGCUGAGAAAUAUCAGACUACCUCUAGUGCUAAAUAUAAAUUAAGUAAAAGGUGUCAAAACCUGUGAGAAGAGUCUGAGAUGUUACCCUACUUGUAAGUUAACAGGUCAGCCUGCCUGUUUCAGGGAUGCUCACAGAAGACUCAAGACUUCUGGAGUUUUGAGUGAGACAAAGGACUUUGCUACUCACAGCACAGUAAACAGAAUUAGCUCCAUAUUGGUCUUGAUGCUUUUUGGCCCUAAGUCUACCAAGGACAAAGUGGAGCGGCCUAGAUGGAUGCUGCACAUACUGAGGGUUCGCAUCACAAUUGAGGACCCAGAGCUUAGGGAACAUGAAUCUUUUGUAAUGGGCUGCAAGCAAACCAGCCCAAACUUUGUCUCAGAGGCAGACCUUAUUUUUAUUUUACUGGACAGUAAGUGAAUCUGCCCUUUGCUCUGGAAGGAGACAACCUCUACCUUCAAAGCUGUUGUUCACUGUACAAGCAUCCAUAAAAUAGAGUACCUCUGCUUGCAAGUUGUACCUAUACACAAAAAACCCAUGGAGAACUUUCUCCCAACAAAAAGAAAGCAUUAAGUUGUCUAAUUCACUUAAACCUAUUAGAGAAUAUCUAGUUGGUGCCCAAUGGGCUUCAGUUCAAAAGAGGGAACUGAGCCCACAUACUGAGUAAUCCCCUUUCAACAGAUACACAAAUUCAUAUGGAAAUGAUUUAAGAAUAUAUAAAAGUGUGAACAUAUACCCACUUGCUCAAAAGAAAGCACUUUCACACAUAUAUUUCCUUGCUGUGUUAGUGGAGAAGGCCUAGAAGCGACAACACCCUGGUAGUGUCAAGCACAUCUAGCUCCCAGAUCUUGAUUACUAAU